rnacentral:lncRNA from 1 species
UGAUGUUUGCUAGUUAGUUCUUGCUAGUGUUGUAUGUGCAAGUGCUUGUGUGUUUACAAGUUGUUAUUUUUGCUAGUGAUGUGUGUAUGUUUUUUUCUGUUGCUGAACUGAUGCUCUGGUUGAAUUCUUGUGAACAUGUGAUCUGUUGUUUGUUUUAGCCUAAAUUUGCCAAAGGGGGAGUUUGUUGGUUCUAUGAAUUGGCAUCAAUUUUGGUAAAACUUAGUGUUAUCACAAGAUGUCACACUAUUCUUGACAUGUGAUAUUACCUUUCUGCAGGUUGUUUGAUAUGGUUAUGCAGGAUUUAUUCAAGAUGUCAG